GACGAACGCUGGCGGCGUGCUUAACACAUGCAAGUCGAGCGGUAAGGCCCCUUCGGGGGUACACGAGCGGCGAACGGGUGAGUAACACGUGGGUGACCUGCCCUCAGCUCUGGGAUAAGCCUGGGAAACUGGGUCUAAUACCGGAUAUGACUCCAUGACGCAUGUCGUGGGGUGGAAAGCCUCGUGCGGCUGGGGAUGGGCCCGCGGCCUAUCAGCUUGUUGGUGGGGUGAGGCCUACCAAGGCGACGACGGGUAGCCGGCCUGAGAGGGCGACCGGCCACACUGGGACUGAGACACGGCCCAGACUCCUACGGGAGGCAGCAGUGGGGAAUCUUGCGCAAUGGGCGAAAGCCUGACGCAGCGACGCCGCGUGAGGGAUGACGGCCUCGGUUGUAA
rnacentral:rRNA from 1 species